UACAGAGGAUGCAAGCGUUAUCCGGAAUUAUUGGGCGUAAAGCGUCUGUAGGUGGCUUUUUAAGUCCGCCGUCAAAUCCCAGGGCUCAACUCUGGACAGGCGGUGGAAACUACCAAGCUGGAGUACGGUAGGGGCAGAGGGAAUUUCCGGUGGAGCGGUGAAAUGCGUAGAGAUCGGAAAGAACACCAACGGCGAAGGCGACUUACUGGACACAUAUUGACGCUGAGGUGCGAAAGCGUGGGGAGCAAACAGG
rnacentral:rRNA from 1 species